ensembl:lncRNA
AUGGCGCGGGACCCCCCCUGGCACUCGGCCUCCAGGCGCUGCCUGCUCCCGAGACUGCAGAUAAGAGGGGGCCCCAGCGGGGAGACGUCCACGGGCACCGUGGAGCCUGCAGGGUGCCCCCGCACUAGCCCGCCCGGCGAGGGCCUGCUCUGUAACGUACGUGUUCCUUCUUCCCCGCUCUGCCCUAGCGGACCCGGGAGCAAGGUGCUGCUGUCGCCAUCCAGUGAUCCAAUGACUUCACCCUACACCCCACCUUGGCCGCCGGCACAGAGGACCACCUGCGGUGAAGGUCUCAAAGGACCAACAGGAAAUGAGGUUGCCUGUGAAAGCAGACAGUGCCGAGGGCAAAGGCCCAGCUUCAGGUAAGACAUCACACAGCGUGGGAGUUGAGAUCCACCCAAGUUUGAUUCCCUAAAGAGGAAAGCGUUUUCUACAGAAAAACAAGGAGAGGGAGAAAUCACCGGUGGGGAGUCAAAGGCUAGGACGCUUGUUGUCUCAGUGGCACGGAGGACGAGCUUGGGCUCACGUAGUGUCUGCCGAUGGGGCCUGGCGUCCCCGCGCUAGCCCCGCCACCUGCUCUGUGUGCCACAAAGCAGCAGGUGCAAGACGUGGGGCUGGACGCCCAGCUGAAAGAGUGCCUGCAAGGUAGGAGCUGGCCCUGGGUGGCGUCGCCGUGGCCGCCGAUCUGAGCCGGGGACCCUGACGUGCAACGGUGGCCAACCUAACGAUGGCACCAGAGCGAGGGCCACGGAGGGUUUGACUAGUGACCGGAACCAAAGGCCUGAUGUGCUCUGUUAGAGGCUCAGACUCCACCACCCGCAUGCUGUCUGCUGAAAUGCACGGUGAUUUUGUUAUUCACUCGCCUGACCCUUCCAGAGUCCUUCUGAGACGGCCCCACCUCAUCUAAGGAAAUGUUCGCCACUCAGCUUUUAAACAACUACCUACCGUCGGCCACGAUGACGCCUCCUGCUGCCGCCGUCGCUUCAGAGCUCAUAGUGCAAUUCUCCAGUGCUCCUGUUUCUAGAAAAGAGGUGGAGGCUGACCUCUCAACACGCCCGUGGCCGCAGGAGUCAGUGACUCCUGUUUCUAGAAAAGAGAUGGAAGCUGAGAGGGUGAGUUUGAUUUCUGCGUGAUUCCAGAAAGGGCCAAAGCUGGAUUUUAAGAAACCUAAACUACAAGCAAGUGGCAAAGUGACAGGGAGCCUGAGCCUCAGGUCUGGGUACGUGGCAGGUUGGCUCCUGAGUGGACUGACGCCACGGGGGCGUGCAUGUGCACACCGUCCAUGUGGGUGUAGGUGCUCGUGGACAGGUAAGAACAAGCGGUCCUCAGCCAGGGACGGAGGCAAAGAGAAAACCCACAGAGAGCCCCGUGGGCACCUGCAGCCUGUGUCCCAAGGGCCCCUGCCUCCCUGGUGAGCCGGGUUCUCGUGGCCUCACAGGAGGGAGAGACAGGCCCAAGCUCAGGGCGCAGCCAGAACGGAAGGCCGAUAAGUCAUCCGGUAAAAUCGGGACCCAAAUGGCCACACGCGCAUUGCAGUGGUGAGCCCGGAAGAACCCCGUGCUCCGCUCCCACAGGACACAAGAAUGACCCUUGGAGCCGAAAGGAGCUGAGAAAAUCCCCCAACUCCUCAAGCUGAGGAUUAACACCAAGUGAUUCUGGACCAGCCGUUUGCAGGUGCCGAGAGGCGCUCCCCUCGCGGGAGCUGGGAAGAUACCAGGCGCUCUCAUCCCACGUGGCCACGCCCUCAUGGAGGCCAAGGCCACCACAGAGACAGACACAGGUCGGGAGUUGGGCUCGAGGACCAAAUGCAAAGUAACUGUGGUUGUUGUUUGGGGAAACAACAGGCAAAGGGAAAAACAUCUGAAGAGAACAGAAAACUUGUUUAAAUCGCACGUGUAUUUGAAGAGAAACCAAAUGAAACUUAGAGCUGCAGAAAAUACCACUGACGUGGGGUGGCUGGCUGAGGGUUU